rnacentral:rRNA from 1 species
ACUCCUACGGGAGGCAGCAGUAGGGAAUCUUCCACAAUGGACGAAAGUCUGAUGGAGCAACGCCGCGUGAACGAUGAAGGCCUCGGUCGUAAAGUUCUGUUGUAAGGGAAGAACAAGUGCCGCAGGCAAUGGCGGCACCUUGACGGUACCUUGCGAGAAAGCCACGGCUAACUACGUGCCAGCAGCCGCGGUAAUACGUAGGUGGCAAGCGUUGUCCGGAAUUAUUGGGCGUAAAGCGCGCGCAGGCGGCCUCUUAAGUCUGAUGUGAAAGCCCCGGCUCAACCGGGGGAGGGCCAUUGGAAACUGGGAGGCUUGAGUAUAGGAGAGAAGAGUGGAAUUCCACGUGUAGCGGUGAAAUGCGUAGAGAUGUGGAGGAACACCAGUGGCGAAGGCGACUCUUUGGCCUAUAACUGACGCUGAGGCGCGAAAGCGUGGGGAGC